AUAAAAAAUAAUUUAAUAAUAAAAGUAAUAAAUGAAAUUAGAACUAAUAAGUUAUAAAAACAUAAAGGUACCUUACAUUGAUUUGCAGUAGAUCUUAGUACACAAUAAUAAUUCUUGUGUGAAUUUUUACAAUCUCCAGCAUUAGCUCUAAACUAACUGCGCGUUGCAUACUUAUCAGUCUUGAAAUAAACUUACAUGAAGUUGGAAUACGUAAUAUCAUAAUAUGUUAGUGUUCCUAAUAAAUUCUUUACAGUUUUUUUAGAAAAGGGCGGACUCCUUAGCAACAAUAUUAUUUUGCUAAAUUGCCGGUUAAUUUAAUGUGUGAUAUGAUGUAUUUUGCUUUAUGUAAAAAUUGUGUUUUAAGAUGAUAUAUGUGGUGCGCAGUUCAUAGAAACCGAAGAUUGUAAAUAUUUAUGCAAAAAUCAUUAUUAGACAUGCUACAGGCAAUUUCAUACAUAUAGGUUUUUUAUUUUUUUAUUUAUUAGUUCAAAGUUGGUUAAGAUUAAAUCAACUUAGGACUACUUUGAUCAAACUCCGAUUAGCUUAAUCGUCAAUUAAUUUCGUUAUAACUGAUAAAAUUACUCAAUUCCUAUUUACUGGUUACAACGAAAUUAAUCAACGAUUCUGUUAAUCGAAAUUUAGUCAAUAUGGUCUUUAAAUUACAUUAAAAAAUUACUUUUAUGAGGAAACGAAACAUUAGUUGUUUUGUUUUCAUAUUUUAAUCUAUACUCUGUUCACCAAAAGAAUAGGAUCAGAGCGCGCAUAAAUGGAAAGAAUAGGCAGAGCAUAACGCACUGUAUUGGGGAUGGAGGCCGAGCCCUUAUAGCGCUCUUUCAAUUUGGAGGGUCCCGUUAGCGCACAUCCCGAUAGCACACAUAAAGUUUAGUAAAUUUCCGAUAGCACACGUUCCGAUGUCGCACAAUAAAAAAGGUAUAUUAUCCCAAUAGUGCACAAAGUAGAAAUCGCAUUAUUUCGAUAGUUCCAUCUCGAUAGCGCACAUUAUGACACAGCACAUUCCGAUAGCGCACAUCUUGAUAGCGCACAUCAUGACACUGCACAUCUCGAUAGCGCACAUUUCGAUAACGCACAUUCUGGUAGCGCACAUCUUGAUAGCGCAUACCCUAAUAUGCCUCUUUCAUUGUGUGAUACCGAGAUGUGCGCUACCGGGAUGUACGCUAUUGGCAGUGUUGGGUAGUAUCUCUAUACAUGUAUCUAGAUACAUGUAUAGAGAUACAUUUUGUGUAUCUGAACCUGUAUAUGAGAUACAUUUGAAUUAAAGUAUUUGUAUCUGUAUCUAGAUACAAAACACAGUAUCUGAACUGCUUUUCAGAUACAUUUUCAGAUACAUUUUCAAAUACAUUGUCACGUACUUUUUGUCUUUAUUGGGAAAAAAA